rnacentral:ncRNA from 1 species
AGACAUGGCGCUGUGGGUAAAACAAAACGCUCGGUUAAGGUGCAUUACUCUGAUGCUCAUGAGAUACCACAAACAUUGUUGGUUAAUAUAGACAGCAGGAUGGUGGCCAUGGAAGUCGGCAUCCGCGAAGGAGUGUGUAACAACUCACCUGCCGAAUUGACCAGCCAUGAAAAUGGAUAAUGCUGGAGCGUUUGACCUAUAGCGGGCCGUCACUGCAAGCUGGAUCGCUGGCUACGCUUUUGUUUGUGCGAGCAGCACAUGAUCUGUUGCGUGAGCAACAAUCUGUCGCUUUCUUGCAAAGUCGUGAUCCAGGCAAGGAGGCGGUGGCGAGUACAUUGGCUGCCGUGGUGAGCGUGGAAGCUUCGGACGUGAAUCUGGGUGGAGCCUUACGGUUGCAGAUAUUGGUGGUUGUAGCAAAUAUUCAAGUGAGAACCUUUAAGGCCAAGGUGGAGAAGGGUUCCAUAGGUUCAACAGUUGGCCCUGGGUGAGGCGGUCCUAAGUUAUUUGGUGUCUCGGUACAGAGACGUUGGUGCCUUGCAUAUACUUCUUGUCUGUGUGUGUGGGUGCACGUGCAGCUGGCAGCUUCCCGGAGCGAAAGCCAUUCGGUUUAAUAUUCCUGACCCUGCCAACGGAUAUAGGGAAGG